rnacentral:rRNA from 1 species
CAGUAGCCGCGGUAAUACAGAGGGUGCAAGCGUUAAUCGGAAUUACUGGGCGUAAAGCGCGCGUAGGUGGUUUGUUAAGUUGGAUGUGAAAUCCCCGGGCUCAACCUGGGAACUGCAUCCAAAACUGGCAAGCUAGAGUAUGGUAGAGGGUGGUGGAAUUUCCUGUGUAGCUGUGAAAUGCGUAGAUAUAGGAAGGAACACCAGUGGCGAAGGCGACCACCUGGACUGAUACUGACACUGAGGUGCGAAAGCGUGGGGAGCAAACAGGAUUAGAUACCCCAGUAGUCCCUGUCUCUUAUAC